UAAUCAUUUGUAACACGCCUCACCGGGACUAAACAGCGUGUCUAAAAAACAGUCUCUAAUAUCCACUCGCAAGGGUAGAGUGGAGAUACUACUACCU
rnacentral:ncRNA from 1 species